GCCAGACUCCUACGGGAGGCAGCAGUGGGGAAUAUUGCACAAUGGGGGGAACCCUGAUGCAGCGACGCCGCGUGGGUGAAGGAGUAUUUCGGUAUGUAAAGCCCUAUCAGCAGGGAAGAACAAUGACGGUACCUGACUAAGAAGCACCGGCUAAAUACGUGCCAGCAGCCGCGGUAAUACGUAUGGUGCAAGCGUUAUCCGGAUUUACUGGGUGUAAAGGGAGCGCAGGCGGCGCGUUAAGCCUGGUGUGAAAGCCCGUGGCCCAACCGCGGGACUGCAUUGGGAACUGGCGCGCUGGAGUGCCGGAGGGGUAGGCGGAAUUCCUAGUGUAGCGGUGAAAUGCGUAGAUAUUAGGAGGAACACCAGUGGCGAAGGCGGCCUACUGGACGGUGACUGACGCUGAGGCUCGAAAGCGUGGGGAGCAAACAGGAUUAGAUACCCCGGUACC
rnacentral:rRNA from 1 species